CGGCGAGUGAAGCGGCAAUAGCUCAAAUUUGAAAGCUGGCCCCUUUCGGGGUCCGCGUUGUAAUUUGUAGAGGAUGAUUCGGCGAGGGCUCCCGUCUAAGUCCCUUGGAACAGGGCGUCAUAGAGGGUGAGAAUCCCGUAUGUGAUGGGCUGCCUUAGCCAUGUGAAUCUCCUUCGACGAGUCGAGUUGUUUGGGAAUGCAGCUCUAAAUGGGAGGUAAAUUUCUUCUAAAGCUAAAUACCGGCCAGAGACCGAUAGCGCACAAGUAGAGUGAUCGAAAGAUGAAAAGCACUUUGGAAAGAGAGUUAAAAAGUACGUGAAAUUGUUGAAAGGGAAGCGCUUGCAGCCAGACUUGUCCGCAGUUGCUCAGCCUGCCUCCUGACAGGCGUACUCUUCUGCGGCCAGGCCAGCAUCAGUUCGGGCGGUCGGAUAAAGACCCGGGGAAUGUAGCUCCUCUCGGGGAGUGUUAUAGCCCUGGGUGCAAUGCGGCCAGCCUGGACUGAGGAUCUCGCUUCGGCUAGGAUGCUGGCGUAAUGGCUGUAAGCGGCCCGUCUUGAAACACGGACCAAGGAGUCUAACAUCUAUGCGAGUGUUUGGGUGUCAAACCCAUGCGCGUAAUGAAAGUGAACGGAGGUGGGAACCCUCACGGGUGCACCAUCGACCGAUCCUGAUGUCUUCGGAUGGAUUUGAGUAAGAGCAUAGCUGUUGGGACCCGAAAGAUGGUGAACUAUGCCUGAAUAGGGUGAAGCCAGAGGAAACUCUGGUGGAGGCUCGCAGCGGUUCUGACGUGCAAAUCGAUCGUCAAAUUUGGGUAUAGGGGCGAAAGACUAAUCGAACCAUC
rnacentral:rRNA from 1 species